UACGUAGGGUGCGAGCGUUAAUCGGAAUUACUGGGCGUAAAGCGUGCGCAGGCGGUUUGGUAAGACAGAGGUGAAAUCCCCGGGCUCAACCUGGGAAUGGCCUUUGUGACUGCCCGGCUAGAGUGUGUCAGAGGGGGGUAGAAUUCCACGUGUAGCAGUGAAAUGCGUAGAGAUGUGGAGGAAUACCGAUGGCGAAGGCAGCCCCCUGGGAUAACACUGACGCUCAUGCACGAAAGCGUGGGGAGCAAACAGG
rnacentral:rRNA from 1 species